GUUUACUCAGCUGCGACUACAACCAGACCUGGGCGAGGACAGACGCGUCGGCGGCUCCUCUCUCCUCCUUCGUCCUUGCCGAAGAGGAAGCUCCCGGCUCUGCUGACAGACACAGGCCCGCCGAGCCCCGCGUCAUGUGGACACCUGCCGCUGCGGGACAGCCUCCAUUCUUUUGUUAUUUACUCCGGCACGAUCCUGUUCCUCCCUCACCGCCGCCGACCCAGACAACGCGAGGAAGCCAUAUGGAGCGGGGCUGCUUCGGUGCGGCGGAGAGGCAGAGACGGGGCUGCGUUUUUAAAGGGCCAGAAGCCUGGUGUCGCCUUCAGCUUGUGGUGGUGAGAGCGCACGAGGUCUCGGAUGACUUCCCCGAGGCAGAGGCCAUUCAUCAGGAGAUCACCACACGUCACUGCCUCUGGCACCGUGAUGCAUGUGCCACAGAGCAGUGACCACCGCAGGUUCCUGCUCUCCACAGGUGCAAAUAGUGCACGUGCAGUAUUACCUCAAAAGCAUUUGGCACAGCCCACAAUCCAGCUGUGUGGUCAAGAAAGCAUUACCGACAGAUCUCCGUCUGACCGAGCGACCUGUGCGUCCCAUGGCUGUCCUAGUUUCCGAGGCGGCCUGCAGGCCCUAUCUGCGGGUCCUGGUUGACCUGGUGCCGGGCGUUCCCACCGGGUCCAUUUUCCACCGAAACAGAGCAGGACGUAAGGCAAGAAAGCCUCUUAGGAGUCCGGCUGAACGAGCAUGAUAAUCCCCUCUGUGUCUGCUCUGCAACUUCACCUGCUGCUAAUCCAUAACCAGAUUAUCCUACAGGUGGGACCGCAACACGAAACAUACAUAACACUAAUGUAUGCAUAUGCACGUAUAUAUAUAUACACACACACUCGAAGACUGACAAUAAAUUAUGGACACCGACUGUCUCUCUCACACACACAGAUUAAAUAUCAUGCAAUGCAAGGCCCCGACAUGCAGCUACUCCUCUGCCCCUGCUCCAAACCCAGCUCAUGUUAUCAUACAUGCAUGCAGCAGUGCUCAUUUACAUGUCUAUUCAGGCAUGUGUUGUUUAACUGAAACAUGCAAAUGUGCUGCAUAAAGACCCCCGACAUAUGUGGUCAGCCCAUUAUCUACAAGCACGUGCAGUGAGAGGGUUGAUCUCUGCUCAGCGUCCAUCACUCCAGGCCCAGAGGAGCUACAGAUUCUUCAGGGUCCAGAGCUGCACGGCUACGUCUUAACCUUUUCAGACGAGAACCAGAGGCCUUCAGUGACUAGACAGUGUAGCUCUUGAGGGCCGGGGGUCGGGAGACAGCUGCUCCGAACUGCUGCGCACGGCAUGGCCACAUGCACCUUGGGACUCAAACUGGGCGUCAUCCAGUCUAAUUCGAGCGAAACUCACUUUUGUCCAGCCUGUCUGUGAGGCGGGCGCACAUGUCAGCGCCGGCGCCCUGGCCUGGGUCCUGCAGUUCAGAAGCCUCCUGCCUAAUGGUGGUCAACACUAACUGCUCUGUGGGCACCGGAGAGGCCACGGCGGGAGGAAACAACACACACAAGACAACAAGUAAAUAAACACACAUACCGCACACAUCCACGUGUCAAUAAAUGCACUGUCAAGGUGUCUGUUUGCCUGUCCCUGCGAGCAAUGAUAAGCAAGAUGAGAUUCAUGCCUGCAGGUGAAACACGGAGGUCUGACAGUUAGACAGAGAAAUGGACUGGACCAAAAAGCUGGUAGCUUACCCAAGAGUGUCCCCCUGUGGCCAACUCAUGUAACUACCUGACAACUGCAUAUUAUUAGGGGUCUCUAUCUCCCAAAUGGCAUCUUCAGUUGUUUGGCAGCCAUGACAACGACUCAUUAUCUUCCCCCAACAGACGAUAUGGUUGACAGUUGGCUGAGCCACAUGGCGCCUAUAAACUAGACCCAACGACACUAUGACAGGACCACUCCUUCAAUUUAAAUCUAUAUCAUUUAGGCUAUGCAAUAGGCAAAACCUAUAAAAUAUCUUAAUCAGAGUUUAUUUUGCUUCAUACUGUGACUUCACUUCGCAGUAUAAUGAGCAAUUGCAACCAAUGAAAGAAGUGUUUUAGCGUUUGAGAGUAGAACCCACUAUUUAGGUCUUCUUAAAUACAAACAAUUGAAAGGAUUCCUCUGUGUGGACGCAUUGGGAGUAAAUGUGACAGAUUGGGAGCUGCAGACGUCAUCGGCAGGGAUGUGGCGACUCACUAAUUGGAGCAAAGACUCAAGAGGUCAGGCGUCAAGAGAUUACAGUGAAGGCAACAUGGAGACUGGGAGGGAACACAUGUACAUACCAGACACUGUAACACCCCCCCCCCCCCCCCCCCCAUAACCAUUCUGUGCUUUAAAUAUGGCACUUGUGAACACCUCUAUACAACUAAUAGACUCAAUUAAACAAGGAAAACAAAAAAUUCACCCAUGAGUGUUACUGAAAAACUAGUAAAUGUCAUACUUGCUUUUUUUCUUAUAAGAAUCAUAUAAGACGUGUAAAAGUACUAAUAACAGCAGUGUGACUCAUCGUGAGUCCACCGGCUGAACAACAAAUAUGAACUUAUUUUAUUCAUCGAACUAACGAAACAAUUGAAAUGCAAACACUAAAUCUCAGGUUUUGAAUUAGAAGGAGCUGAGAGAAGAAUAAUCUCACAUAAUCUGCCCGUCUCUCAUAAAACGUGAAUUAACAAAGCAAAUAAUUCAAUAAAAUUAGACACAUUGUUGCAGGCCAACACAUUCCCUCACAUCCCUCCAUUAGUUCCAAAGUUACCAUUUUUUAUAUACCAUUCUGGAUGUUCUGAAGAGCUUUGUACAUCAUUUUCUAAAUACAUUAUUUUAAUUUCAAUAGCUUUAGCUGAGAGAUUAAUGGGUUUGACUGAUCUCUAAAGCGACUUCUACUGGUGAUUCCAGUCUCAUUUUUUGUCAAAUUAAAACUGAAUGAAGUACUUUCUCAAACUUCAACAAAGUGGGUCAGAUAUGGAACAGUUAUUAUUAGUUAUAUAAAAUGUACAAUGCUUUAUUACCUAAUUAAUCCUUUACUUACUGUAACAGAGCUGUUGAAGCUAAAUACAAACAUAAAGGUUAAAGGCUAAUGUGUCUGUCACUAUAUAUUGAAAAUGCUGUUCCUAAACAGCUUUUAACCUUUGACCUUUCUUCUGAUAAACCUUCGCGGCCUCAGUGUGAAACCAUCCAGCUGUUUUAUUUUCUCAAUCAACAGUUGAAAGUAUCUGGGAACCUCUGGAGAGCGUGGCCCAGUUGGCUCAUCUCUGAUCGCAGUUUGACCUGCUUUCUAUUUCUGGAAGCUGCAGGAGGCAUGCAGCCCCCCCCCCCACACACACACAGACACACAACAGCAAUGCAGCCAUACAAUAUGUGCCCGUCACUAUUAAACGCCGAAGAGCUGACUCUUCUAGGACAGUCUCAUCUGAUUGUGUGGAAUCCACUGACUGCAGUCUGCUGUUUUUUAACUUCAAAUCCCUUUUCCAACUAUGAGGUUAAAGCCACUUCCUCCAAAGAAAAGAUGUUGCAGCUGGAGUCAACACUGCGGAGGCUGCCAUGGGCAUUUGUCCCCACAACACAGCUACGUGCAGACAGGCUCAUGUGUGCAGCAGCUCUUCCUCUGGAUGUGAGCUGAGGUGACACUCAGAUGUGUAGGGCUCAAGACACCUGCAGUCUGCUCGUCCCUGCAUCGCCAACUGAGACCGCAGGGUAAACACCGGCACAGACGAGCUAACUCCCCCCCCACAUGCAUGCCGCAGUCCCGGGCAGCUCCCGUUCCAUCACAUCCCCCAGUUAAUAUGCCGAGCACAUAGUGAGAUACGCACGGUUCUGUGCAGGCCGCUCUGUCAGGCCGGAUUCCACCAGGGAGACCGACACGACUUUACUUUGACAGCUCGCGGCUCAAGCAGGGAAACUCCGACACAUGAAAUAAAGGUCGUGUCUGUUUACCUCCCUCGCUGUGGAUCUUCUUGGCUCUCCGGUUGAAAUACAUCUUGCUGCUGGAGGACGAGUGUCGGUGAGGCUGGGGCGAGGAGGCCGGAGCGGAGUCAUGCUCAUGGCUCCCCCACAGAGCAGGAGACCGCCACCGCUGCUGCUGCUAUCGCUGCCGCUGAUGCUCCGGACCCGGGAUGAGGCCGCUCCUCCUCCGCCUCCUGCUGUUGCUGCUUCUCACGGGUCAUUAUUUCUCGGCUGGAGGUGAUGUGCUGGAGGACGGAGUCAGUCACCGCUGAGACAGGAGGAGGGAGAAGGGGGCGACUUCCGGCUUUCAAAACAAAGCGCGUCGAAAUAGAGACGAGGUGGAUCUACUCACUCUCCUGUGUAUCUAAUAACUGCAAAUUCAAUUUGGACUUGUUUACUUUGUGUUUCAGAGUUCAGAUAUGUAUUUUGUAUUAAAUUCUCAACUGCGAGGACAGUUUUUUUAUUCUCUCAGGACUGUUCAUGGUACAAAGCAUGAAGAUGUCCACCUCUGUUUUAGGAAAUUGUGUGGGUUUUACACUCCAAAUAUUAAAUCGAUUAAAUUACUAAUUCAUUUGUGAUUAAUUACCGAUGUAAAUUGUUACAUGCGGCCCUACAUGAAACAGGAAAGCUUUAUUUUGAAAGGGGACUGUACAAUCUCUUCUGACUUUACCAAUCAGAUGCCCAUCGCUUCAGCAGAGGAGCGCGCAUCGGAUGAUGGGAUGCGUGCGCGCACCCGGGCUUUGGACGCAUGUUCUCCAGGCUUUUAAACAUUUAGAGCUAAAGGACGAAUACUGUUCUUUAUUACUAGUUAUAUGAAAGAUAUCCGCUGACCUUAUUUGCUUUCGGGGAAUCUGAUUUAAGCUCAGGCUAGCUGAUUAUUUUACAUUUACUAAUGUGCAAAACUAACAUACAUAACUGUCACUGUUCAGUAACCACAAGUGAAAAUCUUAGCUAUUCUAUAUAAAUAUAAUUUAAUAUAAUAUAAUAUAAUAAUAUAAUAAACUGACACAGUAUGGUCAUUCUUUCCAUGUGUUCUUACAUUUUACCCCGAAUAUGGCUUCAUACUAAAGUGUGUUGUCCUCUGUGACUCACAACCUUUCACACACACAAACACACGAACCACAUGUACUGCCAUAACAAAGCUGCAUUUUAUUCCAUUGUUAAGGAGCAGAGAAGAAAACCCCAUGUCUUCAUUUUUAUUACAUAGUAACAUAUUCAUCAUAACUGUUUUAUUUACUCUCACACAUCUUAACAAUACAUAUUUCAAAAGUUGAUUUCCAUUUUAUUAAAUAGGAACAGAAUAAAUAUUCACUUCUGCACGGAGUGGCCACAACCUUCUCCUUGUCUCCGAGUGGACACAUCCACUUUACAGAAGCCUUUUCAGAACCAGGUUUAUUGGAACACGUGACCUUUCCUUCAGUGCACAUCCGCCCGAACACACACAUACAAUUACCCAUACACACUUAUCCCACUCUCGCACCCUCUUCCAAACUGCACCAGUCCUGCAGUGUUGUUAGUGACAGUAGCUCCUGUUAUUAAUGAUGACCCUGGUGGGAACACACUGAUUAGGGUGUUCAGCUAAAUAAUCCACCGGUGCUACACUAGAAAUGUCAACAUCUGUGUAUGACGCUAUGGAAAAACAAGCCAUGAAUAGCAUAUAGGGAUAUUGUAACAUUAACACUGCCUUAUUAAAGUAUUGUUAUGGUACUGGAGUUGAUAGACCCAAUUAGGAAGAGAUGUGUUGUUUACUGAUUCUCAUUAGCAGUGAAUGUCGCUAGGGAUCAGUAAUGCAGCAGAUGCUCUGAAUUUUCUCAUGAACAUUUUUUAGAUAAAAACCAUUAAAAACUCCAGAAAUGUUGACCCAGUUUUUUCUUUACUCAGUGUGUGUUGACUUACUGCUCAAUGCAACUUCAUGAAACAGGUUUCAAUGUGUUUGUCAGAAACAGAAACCAAGACCAAACAUGAUUUCAGGGUUUACAAGAUUUUAAGUGGAGAUGAUAACCAGGCAUUGCAAUGUAAACAACAGCUAUAAGCAAAACAAUAACUGUCUCUGUAUUGCGCAACUCAGACUAAAUUACAACUCAGAAUUCCUGAUUAUCACUUGCCUUUCAUAUGAAUUGAGCUGCUCAUAUGGGUAAUGUUAAUGUUAUUAACGGAUAAAUUCUGUUCUGGAUUUCUAUGGGCCAGGUGUGUAGAGAGAGCGUAAACAAAUAAUAUCAGAUGUGCAGAAUAAAACCCAUUUCAAAAUUAGAUACAUUGCUCAUACACAACAAUUAAUCAAACAUUUCUUAACCAACUGUAAAGGGAUUUUAAGAUUUUAAAAUUUUAAAAUGGACGUCGAAGCUUUAUAAUGGUUAAUGUUUAAAAAACUAAAGGUUUCCUGUUUCCAUUCUAAACAGAUGGUAUGUGAGGAGCAUCUUGCUUCAAACCCCUAACAUACAAGCACUGGUGAGUUAUUUACAGCUUAUACUGAAUAAAUCAUCUCUAGAAGUGACCUUUGUAGUCCAGAUAUGACAAGGACAUCACAUGUAUCAGACAUUGAAGAUUUAAAGUGAGUCAGCAGCAGCUACUGGAGCCCCUUAAGCAUUAAUGCCAUCCAUUGACAUGGGCCUCUGAUGCUUGGUGACAGAUCAGCGAAACAAGUCACAGGAAGAAGAAGCUAAAACAAUAAGUUGCUGAAAACAAGGAGUCUAAAAAAAUAAA